GUCCUCUGUGUCGUACCCCUAUUCUCCGGAUAGGCCACAGCUCUGUUGACAGAUUGUACACGACCAUGUAGAUCCAGGAUCUGGCUCUUUCGUCCGUCUACUCAUGGACAGCUGUUUAUUUCUGCGUACGGCCGUUUUGGACUGUUUCUGCAUCUUCGCUCGCCCGUUGGAUUUGGUGGAUCCUCUCAUUGACUGACCUUGAGUUCCUCUGUGACACUUUUGGUUCGGGGUGCUGUCACCUCAACAAUUUUGGAAGCCGUUGGGUCCCUUCUGCAUUUUCUCUACACCGCUGCUUUGUUUAGGGAAUCAGUUUUUUCCAUUCUCCUUUUUUUCAGUCCUCUAUCUCAUAUUGCUUCUGGUUCUACUAUUUGGGCGUUAAAAUUGCAAAUAUGAAGCCUCCUGUCCUGCCAUAAAAUUAGGGAUUAUUCUAGCCUCGGU